rnacentral:lncRNA from 1 species
ACUAUUCAAAAAAGGAUGCAAUGGAGAACAUUUACAGAGGACUGUGGGUAAAGCAAAGUCUUCAAGGGAAGAUAACAAAGGAUGAAACAAUGGUGUUGUGUGACUUCCUAGUGUGAAUCAUGGCAAUACAGUGAAAGACAGUGAUUUACUGCUUUUGAGGGCGUGCAUGUAUAUGAUUAACGGAUGGAAGUGCAGGACUCCAAGAUUUACUUCCUUCCCUUUCCAGCAGAAUUACCUGAGACGAGUAAAAUCUACUGGUGGAGUCACUCCAUUAUUCUUAUCUGUGGAGAUCUAGAUCUUGAUUUGAAAGUUUCUGAGAAAAUCUUCAGCUCAGACUUGAGGGUCAACUUUACCAGCUGAAGUGACUACAUCCUGCCUGCUUUCAGCUCCAGUGGAAAAUGCAUUAAUCCCAGAGUCUCCGUGAGGUUUCCUGUUUGAUGACAUAAUCAGAAAAUCCUCCUCACAUUGCCCUUGGGGUUGCUGUCUGGAUGUUAUGUUGUCUUGGAUCUGCAUUUACUGCUCAACCACAUCUAAUUUGAUGUCCUCUGCAGAUUUAAAAUGUGUGCCUUCUUUUCCGUCACCAAGUCAUCCCUGGGUUACUACUGAACAUCCUUCUCAAUUCCCCCCGACCCAUGGAUGGCUGUUCUCCAUUGUCUGUUUCACCAGAUGUCCUCAAAACAAACAGACAGAAGAAGGAAGUGGCUAAUGGAGCUGUGGAGUCCAAGUGUGACUGCCAAGAGGAAUCCAGCAAAGCCAAAAAGCCCAAGCAUGUAGCCCUGCCCGAAGCACGCCACACGCAUGGAAAACCCAGAGGAAAUGAGUGAGGAUCAAUGGGAAGAAGAGAGCCAGCCAGGAAGUUGAAGAUUUGUCCAGGAGCAGAUAGCUGAAGAGAGAGAGAGAGAAGAGAGAACGGCUUACAGCUCAGUUCUGGAGACCAGAAGGCCAAAAUCAAAAGUAUGGGCAGGCUUGAUUUCUUUAGAAGACUCCAGCGGAGAACUGUGUCUCCUUGCUUCUGAUUCUACAUCUCCAUCCAUGGGCCACUGUUUCAGCAACCUCAGCCAGUGCAACACAACCUCAGCCAAGAAGAGUAUGCAGAGAAAGGAGUCCCCUACCUGCCACAAAACUGUUGUCUGAAAACUGUCUCAUAUUGUCUCAAGUUGUCAUUCAUUGUGAAUUAGACCUGUUUAACAUGUAAUCUGCAACAUGCUUCACUGUCUAAUUUUCCA